ACAGCGUGCCGGCUCUCUAAAUAAGCAGCACAUUCAGGAACCCCAUCAGGACAGUAGGCAGGGCUGCAGCCUGGGUGUGAAAUCACACUAAUGCGCCCGCUCUAGUCAGGUUGAGCAGGAUCACUCACUCUCUCUCACUCACACACUACCGUUCCUCUACUACUGUAGCCCCAGCACCAGCAGCCAGAAGACAAGUGUGGAUUGGACGUCAAGGAGGGCAAGAAAGAAAGGAAGGAGGCAAAAAAAGAGAGACAGAAAGGUCUGUGAGGAAACGAGGAAAGGGAUUUUGCAGCUGCUCUUCGUCGACUGUUGAUUUGGAUUCGCUCUGUGACGGGAGACGGCGUUUGAACGGUGCACACUGCUGGAUCUCCGGUGGCCUGCCGGUGGCGCUAUCACUCCGAAAGGCUUUUCCACAGACUGUGGAUGCUUCAAACCAAAUCUCAUAACCGGGUCUCGUAGCUUUGAAAAAAAACCUGGAAAUACCUGGAAUUAUAGGACUACAUCAUCCCAAG